rnacentral:rRNA from 1 species
UACGUACUGUGCGAACGUUAUUCGGAAUCACUGGGCUUAAAGGGUGCGUAGGCGGCCAAUUAAGUAGGGUGUGAAAGGCUUCGGCUCAACCGGAGCAUUGCGCUCUAGACUGAUUGGCUCGAGUGAGAUAGGGGUGUGCGGAACUUCCAGUGGAGCGGUGAAAUGUGUUGAUAUUGGAAGGAACGCCGGUGGCGAAAGCGGCACACUGGGUCUUAACUGACGCUGAGGCACGAAAGCCAGGAGAGCGAACGGG